rnacentral:lncRNA from 1 species
UUCUAAGCUGGUUUAAACUGUCAUACUUCAACCUGUUUGGUUGAAAGCUCUAAAGGAGGAGUGAAAAACUACUGUUAAAAUACUGAAUAGUAUUUCUUAUGACCAUAUUCUACAUGACAUUAAAAAUAAUGAAUGUGGUUGUUAUGUUAUUAUAUAUUGCUAAGCCAUUUUUACUGCAUUGAAUGUGAUUGUCUUAGGGUUUUUAUUGCUGUGAAGAGAUCUUGACCAUGGCAACUUCUAUAAGUGAGAACAAUUAGGGAUAGCUUACAAUUUUAGUGCUUUAGUCCAUUGUAGUCAUAUUGGGAAUCAUGGCAGCAUGCAGGCAGUCAUGAUGCUGAAGAAGAAGCUGAGAGUUCUUCAUCUAGAACUUCAGGCAGCAGGAAGUAAAGGGGUUUGAGCCUCCAAAGCCCACGCUCUAGUGAUACACUUCUUCCAAGGAAACCACACCUACUCCAACAAGGCCACACCUCCUAGUAGUGCCAGUCCCUAUGGUCCUAUUGGGGUCAUUUAUAUUCAAAGAUUUUUUGAAAUAUCUGAACUUUGCUUUUUAAAUUUUGCAUUAGUGUAUUUUAAGUUCAUCAGUAGAUGUGGGAUCUUGUGACCAUCCAUAUUUUAUAACACACACUUAGCUAAUUUAAUGAGUAUUUCGAAAGAAAUGAUAAUUAUGAACUUGUAGCUUAGUCUAAUACCAGCUUUCAUUAUUUUUUUUUAACUGAUAAUUGAAAUGCCUUCCUUAGUCAGCUUUGGUUACAGUUAAUAUGUUCUGAAAAAAUGCAUGUCAGGAAGUCAGUUGGAGAAGCCAGACAUUUCUAAAACCACCAGAAAAAAAUCUUAUUACUGGAAAACGUUUCAGAAAUUGGAGCUUUUCUCAACUGACACUGUUGAAAGAUGCUGUGCAGUCGAUAUUUAGUAGAUGUCGCUGAGGACUCGGUUAUCAACUGUACUAAAAGUGGCCCUGCACCAGAUGAUGAAGUUUGGCGAACAUUGCAGUAGGCUUAUAAGACGCUCUUUGUGGUCUUCUGCGGAAUCUGAAACCAAUCAACAUUCAAGGAGCCUGCUCUAGCCUUCCAUUCUUUGCUAAUUUUCCCACCCUACUGCCUGUUUAAAUUGCAAUAGUAUAAUGACAACUGCAUAUGGACCUGUGGUGAGGAAUCUGUAUCGUGUAUACAUACACGAUACUUUUUUUUUUUUUAAAUAUAGCCCAUGGACUGCUAUGUUGUCCUGGAGAGCACUGGGAAGGAAUUCAGCUAAAAACUGCAAACUUCAAGAAGAAGUAAUGGUUUGUUUCUCAAAUUGAACUCACUAAGAAGCAGUCAGCUAGACGGAGUUUGGCGUGAGGAGCUUGAUUAGGGGUGGGCUUGAGAUUAGACAGCCCCGAAAGAGGACAGCAAACAAAAGUGGGCAGCUGGGAAAUUGAGCUGUGAUGCCGUCAUGUUGGAAAUCUUCUUCAGUGUCCAGGGAAUGGUUCCCAUUUAAUGAACUUCCAAUGUUAUCCUCUAUUGAAAUGAAUUUUACACUUCAGUGUCUCCCAGAUAUUGACUGUGAGUUUCACUAGGAAGGAAUAUCAUUUUUCAGACAAAAACAAAAAAAAACAAAAAAAAACAAAAAAAAACUGAUGGAACAGGGAAGUGAGUUCUGCUUCUUGGCAGCUAUCUCAGCAUCUGGUAAAAUAAUUUCUUUUGUCCUUCACCAAGGGGACUGUGACCACCACAUCACAACAUCCAUUACAUAAAAUUAAAUCAUGGU